AGUAGAUGUCAAGUGGAUCGAAUGACACCGUAAGUGGCACCGGAUUCAAGUAUUCAAAAUAAUAACGAAUCAUUAGGGAAUAGGUGGACCUAUUGGACAUUUCUUUAGCUAGCCCACAACAUGUUUUCCCCCUUUUCUAAACGAAAGACAACGUGACUUACAACAUGGCCAAGUGUAUUAUACUGUCGAACUCCCCUAAGUGAUGGAUCCAUUGCUGGUUAUAUACCACAAUAUUGCCUCUCCGAUGUUGCCAUAAUGCACUGCGGGAUUUGCUGUCAGCUAUUUCAUGAAAAGGAAACGAAUUUCACAAGCAUUUAAAGGCCCGUGCCCGUGUAGGCAUGUCUGUGGGGGUUGUCAUGACGACCUGGCUCGGUAAGGUGUAUCAUCAAACAAGUACUACACAACAGUGAGCGAACGAGUGCCUCGAACGAUUAUCCACCACUCCAGCAUGA